GCGGCCCUGUCCCAACAGGUAGAGGACCUGUCCUCAGAUGGCAGGAGUUCCGGGUUCGAAUCCCGGGGGCCGCA
rnacentral:tRNA from 1 species